rnacentral:rRNA from 1 species
GAUGAACGCUGGCGGCGUGCCUAAUACAUGCAAGUCGAGCGAACGGACGAGAAGCUUGCUUCUCUGAUGUUAGCGGCGGACGGGUGAGUAACACGUGGAUAACCUACCUAUAAGACUGGGAUAACUUCGGGAAACCGGAGCUAAUACCGGAUAAUAUUUUGAACCGCAUGGUUCAAAAGUGAAAGACGGUCUUGCUGUCACUUAUAGAUGGAUCCGCGCUGCAUUAGCUAGUUGAUAAGGUAACGGCUUACCAAGGCAACGAUGCAUAGCCGACCUGAGAGGGUGAUCGGCCACACUGGAACUGAGACACGGUCCAGACUCCUACGGGAGGCAGCAGUAGGGAAUCUUCCGCAAUGGGCGAAAGCCUGACGGAGCAACGCCGCGCGAGUGAUGAAGGUCUUCGGAUCGUAAAACUCUGUUAUUAGGGAAGAACAUAUGUGUAAGUAACUGUGCACAUCUUGACGGUACCUAAUCAGAAAGCCACGGCUAACUACGUG